rnacentral:misc_RNA from 1 species
UGAAACACGGAGACGCUGUG